ensembl:rRNA 5S_rRNA 5S ribosomal RNA
AUCUACUGAUAUACCAUCCUGAAUGUUCAAGACCUCAUCUGAUCCCAGAAGCUAAGCAGGGUCAGCUUUGGUUAGUACUUGGAUGGGAGAGACAGUAUGGGCUGAAGAAC